UACGAAGGGGGCUAGCGUUGCUCGGAAUCACUGGGCGUAAAGCGCACGUAGGCGGAUCUUUAAGUCAGGGGUGAAAUCCUGGAGCUCAACUCCAGAACUGCCUUUGAUACUGAGGAUCUUGAGUCCGGGAGAGGUGAGUGGAACUCCGAGUGUAGAGGUGAAAUUCGUAGAUAUUCGGAAGAACACCAGUGGCGAAGGCGGCUCACUGGCCCGGUACUGACGCUGAGGUGCGAAAGCGUGGGGAGCGAACGGG
rnacentral:rRNA from 1 species